CAUGAUCCUGAUACCAAAGGCGGAGCAAUCCGUCACCUGAGGAUGGGCCUGCGUCUGAUUAGGUAGUUGGUGAGGGUAACGGCCCACCAAGCCGACGAUCAGUAGCCGGUCUGAGAGGAUGAACGGCCACAUUGGGACUGAGACACGGCCCAGACUCCUACGGGAGGCAGCAGUGGGGAAUCUUCCGCAAUGGGCGAAAGCCUGACGGAGCAACGCCGCGUGAGUGAAGAAGGUCUUCGGAUCGUAAAGCUCUGUUGUCGGGGACGAAGGGGCAGAUCAGGAAAUGGGUCUGCUUAGACGGUACCUGACGAGGAAGCCACGGCUAACUACGUGCCAGCAGCCGCGGUAAUACGUAGGCGGCAAGCGUUGUCCGGAAUCAUUGGGCGUAAAGGGAGCGCAGGUGGGACGGUAAGUCUUUCUUAAAAGUGCGGGGCUCACCCCCGUGAGGGGAAAGAAACUAUCGUUCUUGAGUGCAGGAGAGGAAAGCGGAAUUCCUAGUGUAGCGGUGAAAUGCGUAGAUAUUAGGAAGAACACCAGUGGCGAAGGCGGCUUUCUGGACUGUAACUGACACUGAGGCUC
rnacentral:rRNA from 1 species